CUCCUUUCAGGGUCACCCCUUGAGAGUUCCCAGUACUCUACCAGUCUUGAUAUGUCAGGGAGAGUCAGGCAGAGGCCUACCCAUUCCAUUCCUAGCUUGGGCAGUGGCUAGCAAGUGGAAGGCAAUCUGCUACAAGU